AACGAACGCUGGCGGCAGGCUUAACACAUGCAAGUCGAACGCAUCCUUCGGGGUGAGUGGCAGACGGGUGAGUAACGCGUGGGAACGUGCCCUUCAGUUCGGGAUAACCCAGGGAAAGUUGGGCUAAUACCGGAUACGUGCGAGAGCAGAAAGAUUUAUCGCUGAAGGAUCGGCCCGCGUCUGAUUAGCUAGUUGGUGGGGUAAUGGCCCACCAAGGCGACGAUCAGUAGCUGGGCUGAGAGGAUGAUCAGCCACAUUGGGACUGAGACACGGCCCAAACUCCUACGGGAGGCAGCAGUGGGGAAUAUUGGACAAUGGGCGCAAGCCUGAUCCAGCCAUGCCGCGUGGGUGAUGAAGGCCUUAGGGUUGUAAAGCUCUUUCGUCCGGGACGAUAAUGACGGUACCGGAAGAAGAAGUCCCGGCUAACUUCGUGCCAGCCGCCGCCGUAA
rnacentral:rRNA from 1 species